GCCCAGGUGGGACAGUGGUUACUCCGUUUGGUUGCUAACCAAAUUUCACGCAAGUGAUUCCCAGGUUCAAAUCCUGGCCUGGGCG
rnacentral:tRNA from 1 species